GCUAGAAUAGCUCAGUUGGUUAGAGCAUGUUGCUGUUAACCACAGGUCGGAGGUUCAAACCCUCUUUCUAGCA
rnacentral:tRNA from 1 species